AGAGUUUGAUCCUGGCUCAGAAUGAACGCUGGCGGCGUGCCUAACACAUGCAAGUCGAGCGAGAAAGUUCCCUUCGGGGAGCGAGUACAGCGGCGGACGGGUGAGUAACGCGUGGACGAUCUACCCAAGGAUUCGGGAUAACCUUGCGAAAGCGGGGCUAAUACCGAAUGGUCUGGGCAUUUUGAAAUGUGCCUGGUAAAGGUGGCCUCUGAUUCAAGCUAUCGUCUUUGGAUGGGUCCGCGUCCCAUUAGCUUGUUGGUAGGGUCAUGGCCUACCAAGGCGACGAUGGGUAGCUGGUCUGAGAGGAUGAUCAGCCACACUGGGACUGGAACACGGCCCAGACUCCUACGGGAGGCAGCAGUGGGGAAUAUUGGGCAAUGGGCGCAAGCCUGACCCAGCAACGCCGCGUGAGGGAAGAAGGUCUUCGGAUCGUAAACCUCAGUCAGGAGGGAAGAAAUGGGUUGUCCUGAACAGGGAUGGCCUUUGACGGUACCUCCAGAGGAAGCACCGGCCAACUCCGUGCCAGCAGCCGCGGUAA
rnacentral:rRNA from 1 species